rnacentral:lncRNA from 1 species
CACUGGCCUACUGCAGGGAUUGCUCAAGGGCUGAAAGGCAAGCCUUGUCACUGCUUGUGAGGAAGAAGAACAGAAGCCCCAGUGACAGAAGCAUCAGUGGUUCUGUGUUUGGGAGUCAUCAUGCUCGCAGUACAGCGAACAGCUGAGGUGUGAACACUGCCAUGUGGCAAGGGAAAAGAACCCAGCUCCAAGACAGCACCA